rnacentral:rRNA from 1 species
UACGGAGGGGGCUAGCGUUGCUCGGAAUCACUGGGCGUAAAGCGCACGUAGGCGGCUUUUUAAGUCAGGGGUGAAAUCCUGGAGCUCAACUCCAGAACUGCCUUUGAUACUGGGAAGCUUGAGUCCGGAAGAGGUGAGUGGAACUCCGAGUGUAGAGGUGAAAUGCGUAGAUAUUCGGAAGAACACCAGUGGCGAAGGCGGCUCACUGGUCCGGUACUGACGCUGAGGUGCGAAAGCGUGGGGAGCAAACAGG